rnacentral:lncRNA from 1 species
UUCCUUCAUUAAUACCCAUCGAACAGAGGCGGCUGCGUGUUGUCGUGUGUCUGUUGAAGGAAGAAGACCGUGAACAUGUCCGGUGACGACACGUACGACGAGCCCAUGGACACCGAGGCCUCGAACUUAGACUUGAUCGACUUUGAGCAACCUCUAGCACUUCCUGGUCAGCCUGCUCAGGCUCUGGUGACCUUAUCACCUAAUGAAGAAGAAGCUCAAGUCUCCCUCAUUGUCGAGUGGACGGGGGACAUUCAACCACAGAAAUAUAGAAAGGACCUGACAAAAGCUCUUCAAAGUCGUGCCAACAAGAAUGAGUUUUGUGAAGAGUUCACAGUUCUGGAAGCCUCAGAGGAUGCUGCUUUGAUAAAGCUCAAACCUGCUUCAGCCCUGAAAAACCUGAUUGGACAAACACUCAGCUGCAAAGAUGGGAAAACAGUCAAACUAGUGUCUGUGAGACCACCAGAGACACACAGACCACAUGAUGCCUCAACGAACCCCCCUUCAUACAAGUCAAUGCUCCAACAUGACCAAGUGCAACAGGGGGAACAAAGUCGAUUCAGCAGUUCAGUCACAGAUCCUGCUGCUGGACAGGCAUGCAAUGUGCCAAUUGCCCAUUACUGGUAUGUGAGCCACAUCUACAAGGAGGAAAUUGAUCGUAUACAAAAAGAGAAUGGAGUUAAAAUUGUGGCAGAAGUGACAGGUAAAACUCGAGCCACACCAGAAAAAUGGAGACCCAACCAAAGCUCUCUCCGAGUUUGUAACCCUCGUCCAGACAUCCUUAGCUGAAUCCAAUGGCUUUGUGGUUCCUCUCAAUUAUUUGGCUCCAGACAAUGUGAGGGACACACUGAAAAUCCUACGGAAAAACGACAACAAGCUUUUGC